rnacentral:rRNA from 1 species
UACGGAGGGGGCUAGCGUUGUUCGGAAUUACUGGGCGUAAAGCGCGCGUAGGCGGACCUGCAAGUCGGGGGUGAAAGCCCGAGGCUCAACCUCGGAACUGCCUUCGAUACUGCGGGUCUCGAGUCCGGGAGAGGUGAGUGGAAUUCCUGGUGUAGAGGUGAAAUUCGUAGAUAUUAGGAAGAACACCAGUGGCGAAGGCGGCUCACUGGCCCGGUACUGACGCUAAGGCGCGAAAGCGUGGGGAGCAAACAGG